rfam:Cricetulus griseus cell line CHO-K1, whole genome shotgun sequence.
ACACGAGGGUGAUGUGACUGUAAUGUCUGUUGCUCCAUUGAAGUCAAUAUGGCUGCCCCUUCCCUCCCUCAGUGUUCUAUGUGGGUGUCUCCCAAAGCUAGGUGCGUGGUCAUAGUUGGUUUUCCCUACUCAUAUAUCCUUAACUGUUCUGUCAAGGAUAUAUGAGUAGUUCUGCUCUUCUGCUAGAACCUCCAAACAAACUCAAGAAUGGUGCUGGAGCCAGAGAGAUGGCUCAGCAGGUCAAGGCCCUUGCUGCCAAGACUGACUACCUGAGUUCACUUCU